UACGUAGGGUGCGAGCGUUAAUCUGAAUUACUGGGCGUAAAGCGUGCGCAGGCGGUGAUGUAAGACAGGUGUGAAAUCCCCGGGCUUAACCUGGGAACUGCAUUUGUGACUGCAUCGCUGGAGUGCGGCAGAGGGGGAUGGAAUUCCGCGUGUAGCAGUGAAAUGCGUAGAUAUGCGGAGGAACACCGAUGGCGAAGGCAAUCCCCUGGGCAUGUCCUGACGCUGAGGAGCGAAAGUGUGGGGAGCGAACAGG
rnacentral:rRNA from 1 species